rnacentral:rRNA from 1 species
AAAGAUGGUCAUACCAUCCUAAAUGUGCCCAAUCUCAUCUAGUCUCAGAAGAUAAGCAGGGUCAGGCCUCAUUAGUACUUGGAUGGGAGACAAAUCUUCAAAAGAGACUUCUCAGAGACAAACAGUU